rnacentral:lncRNA from 10 species
CACCAUGUAAGACAUACCUUGCUUCACCUUUGCCUUCAGCCAUGAUUGUAAGUUUGCCGAGGCGUCCCUAGCCAUGCGGAACUGUGCAGCAGCUAUUUUGGAAACAUGAAGCAGUAAGCACGAGGAUGGAGGCCUAAAAUACAAGGCUUGUGGUGCAGAAAGAAGAGCAGAGCUGGAGCCCUGCUGUCAAGCAGUUCUUGCUCCAUCAUUUUGGCCAAAAGUGAUUUGAUCUAAAGCUGUGAAAAUGACCAGAGAGAGACCAUCUGCAGUACUAUUUGCUUGUUCCUGGCCCUUCAGAAAAAAGUUCUUGAUCAAUGCAUCCCAAGUCUAGGCUGAAUAACUCCUUUCUGGAAUAGAACCCAUCAGCCAGCUGAAGGCAGUGCAUAUGAAACUCCAGUCCUCCAGCCAGCCAGCCUAGAGCCCUCUCAGUCAUUGAUUUACUUCAUUUCCUGACACGAGGGGGCACCUGAAAUUGGGCACCCUGCUUCAGCUGAGGCGAGUAGAAGAGGGCAUUUGUUGUCUCCUCUGCUUCUCAGCUCGUGAAUGCUGCUGCUCACUCCCUCUUCAGAAGUCAGGCGGCCUCUUCUCUGGGGAGCAUCCCUCCCUUACACACUUUGCAAAGUGCUAAGCUAACUCGAAGCACUCAAAAAUCAGAAGCAAAUCCAUUUGCUAAACCCAAGCAAAUGGAAAGGCAGGUUGGGGCUCUUGUUUACGAAUCAGGCAAAAUAUGGAGUUGAACUAUCCAAGUGUGGUUGCCGUUUGUCACUGAGCACUCUUCUUAUUUAAUGGAAAUGUUACAUUGUUGGGAGAGUUUUAGAGAGAGGUAGGUCCCAGAGACCCUUGAUAAAACCAAAGAGAGGGGCAGAUACAUCUUAUUCUUUACUCUUUAUUUGCUUGGAAAAUAAGAUGCUUGCAUUAAGAUUUGGCAUUUUCAGGGAGUCAUGCAAGGAUGCAGGGUCUGCUGGAGGUUAGUUGCAGAAGGCAGAGCCGUGUGGCAUUGGCUCUGCUGGUGAUGACCUCAUAACACCCUGCGUGGGAACUUGGCUGUGCUCAUGGCAGCCCAGCUUCCCAUUCUCUGCCUGUUUUCAAAGCCUAGAUCUUUAGUCUUGCAAACAAUUCCAAAAGUGUGCAUAUCCUUUCAAUAUACCCCCUUUGGUACAGACUACUACCUUUUCUGGCACACCAAAGAAAAAUUAAAUUCCCUCCUCCCUCCUGCCCCAGUCCUCUAGAGCAAAAUCAUGAGAAACUGGCCUGCUGUUCCAUUUCAGCCAUCAUCUUACCUGAGAUGGACACUGGUUCAUUUCUCAUGUGAUAGGAAUGUCAGUACUCCUUCAGCCCCAUCAUGAUCUGAAUUAAGUGCAGGUUUGUUUUCUUUAAUGCGUUUGAGGGAGGAGUUUGAAGGAGGUGACCAGUUACUGAUGUUUUUACCACACAAGUAAUACAUGAAUGCAUGCUUCUCAUGAAAGACUCCAACAAGGCAGGAAUAUUCAGGGGAAAACAUGAUAGACUCGUCCACUGCAGGCCCCCAUCACUCUUGCUUUACUCCAAGGGGCAAGCACUAUGAACACUGCUUUGCAUUUGUAUAGUCUGUACACAUUUAAAACACAUAAAUGGGAAUACUAUGAAUUUUGCUUUGUGACUUGUUUUUUCAAUGAACAAUUUGGGAUAACUUUCCAUAAAGGUUCAAUAUAUUCUUCUAAUGACUGCAUAAUAUUUUUAUACUAUAUUUUAUUUAAUCUCUUCCAUUUGAGAGUUCCUAAUUUUUCAUUAGUAGAAAAAAUAUUCCCAUGAACACCUUGUAUAUUUAUGUUCAUAUGUCAAUUUUUUUCUAGAAUACAUUUUUCUAAAAAUUGAGUUUUUUCUAGAAUGCGAUUACUGAAUCAAAUAUAAUACAUGUUUAUAGUUUUGAUAGAUGUCAUCCAACAGCUUUCCAAAAAGUCUUCACCAAUUUACAAUCCCUCUAACAGAAUGGCCUAGAGUUCAGUCCUGCAGCCCUUUCAAUGACUUUAUAGGCAUUUAACAUUUCUGCUUAAAAUUGGCAAAGUGGUUUUGAUUUCCUGCAACAGAACUCUGCUCAAGAUACCGUGCUAUGAUCUUAUGAUUCCUUUGCUUAAAACACUUCUGUGACUACCAAA